rnacentral:rRNA from 1 species
GACGAACGCUGGCGGCGUGCCUAAUACAUGCAAGUUGAGCGAUGAAGAUUGGUGCUUGCACCCAUUUGAAGAGCAGCGAACGGGUGAGUAACGCGUGGGGAAUCUGCCUUUGAGCGGGGGACAACAUUUGGAAACGAAUGCUAAUACCGCAUAACAACUUUAAACAUAAGUUUUAAGUUUGAAAGAUGCAAUUGCAUCACUCAAAGAUGAUCCCGCGUUGUAUUAGCUAGUUGGUGAGGUAAAGGCUCACCAAGGCGAUGAUACAUAGCCGACCUGAGAGGGUGAUCGGCCACAUUGGGACUGAGACACGGCCCAAACUCCUGCGGGAGGCAGCAGUAGGGAAUCUUCGGCAAUGGACGAAAGUCUGACCGAGCAACGCUGCGUGAGUGAAGAAGGUUUUCGGAUCGUAAAACUCUGUUGGUAGAGAAGAACGUUGGUGAGAGUGGAAAGCUCAUCAAGUGACGGUAACUACCCAGAAAGGGACGGCUAACUACGUG